ensembl:misc_RNA 7SK 7SK RNA
CAAUAAAUAUCUGCAACAUCUGUCACUCCAUUGAUUGCUAGGGUUCAUUCGGCCAAUCUGGCUGGCUAGGCGUGUGUCUAUUUCCUCCCUCACCACUCCAUGUGCAUCCCACCCAAAGCUGUGUGCUCUGAAGACGGCAACCUUCUCUGACAGAGGUCUUCAGUCAAGGGUAUUCAAGUAGCUGUGCUUCCCUGCUAGAAUCUCCAAACAAGCUCUCAAUAAAUACAUGCUUAGCAACACACAUGUCAGAUAAGUCCUUUACAGAGCUAUCAGACUUGGUCUUAAAAUUACUUUGGUGACC